rnacentral:rRNA from 1 species
CCUACGGGGGGCAGCAGUGGGGAAUAUUGCACAAUGGGGGAAACCCUGAUGCAGCCAUGCCGCGUGUGUGAAGAAGGCCUUCGGGUUGUAAAGCACUUUCAGCGAGGAGGAAAGGGUGUAAGUUAAUACCUUACAUCUGUGACGUUACUCGCAGAAGAAGCACCGGCUAACUCCGUGCCAGCAGCCGCGGUAAUACGGAGGGUGCGAGCGUUAAUCGGAAUUACUGGGCGUAAAGCGUGCGCAGGCGGUUUGUUAAGCGAGAUGUGAAAGCCCCGGGCUCAACCUGGGAACCGCAUUUCGAACUGGCAGACUAGAGUCUUGGAGAGGGGGGUAGAAUUUCCGGUGUAGCGGUGAAAUGCGUAGAGAUCGGAAGGAAUACCAGUGGCGAAGGCGGCCCCCUGGACAGAUACUGACACUCAGAUGCGAAAGCGUGGGGAGCAAACAGGAUUAGAUACCCUGGUAGUC